GUGCUCGCUUCAGCAGCACAUGUACUAAAAUUGGAACAAUAUAGAGAAGAUUAGCAUGGCCCUUGCGUAAGGAUUACAUGCAAAUUUAUGAAGCGUUUCAUAUUUUU
ensembl:snRNA U6 U6 spliceosomal RNA